AAAUAGUUAUGUAUUAACUGAGGUUAAGAGUUAUUGGUAAGAAAAUGAUUUUUUAAUAAAAAUAUUUUUAUUGAAGGAGUAAGGAAUGAAGAGUUAAGAGUAUCGAAUAGAGAAAAAAUUUUAUGAGUUAUAGUGAUUUAUUGUACUGUAAGGGUAGAUUUGAAAUAUAAGAAUAAUUAAGUUUAUGGAAAGUAGAUUUUGUUUAUUGUACCUUUUGUAUCAGGGUUGAUUAAAAAGUUUAGUAAAGAUUUAUUCUUAUCUCGAUUUGAAGAGAGUUAAUUUAAUUUGUUAGUUAAUGUGGAAUUAUUAUUAAUAAAAUUGAGUUGGUAAUGAAAUGUUAUUCGUUCUUCAAGAUAUCUAGUUCCUUAAGAAAUGAAUUUAAUUCAUUGAUACUAAGUUAGUGGAAAAUAUAUAAUAUAAUUUUAUUAUAAUAGUAUAGAAAUAGUUUGGGGGAUAAGCUUCAGAUUAGAGAUUAAAAUUGUUUAUUAAUAUUCAAAUUUAUUUAGGCUUAGAAGUAGCUAUAAUUUCAAAAGUGUUGUAACUUAAUUUUGUUAUAUUUAUGUUAUUUAGAGUAAUUUAAAUUUGUAUUAAGGUGUUAUUUUGAAUUAUGUAUGGUUAGUAAUAAUGAUUAAAUUAGUAUAAAUAUUGAAUAUUGGAGGUUUAAUUGUAAAGGAAGAAUGCGAGAAAGGUUACAAUAAGGAACUAGGCAAAUUAAUGCUCGCCUGUUUAACAAAAACAUGUCUUUUUGAUAAUAAUUUAAAGUCUGACCUGCCCACUGAAUAAUUAAAGGGCCGCGGUAUUUUGACCGUGCAAAGGUAGCAUAAUCAUUAGUCUUUUCAUUGAAGGCUGGAAUGAAUGGUUGGACGAGGUAUUGACUGUCUCAUUGUGAAUGAAAAUUGAAUUUAACUUUUAAGUGAAAAGGCUUAAUUGUAUUUAAAGGACGAGAAGACCCUAUAGAUCUUUAUGUCAGUUUAUUUUAUAUUGAUUUGGAGUAUAUAUUUAUUUAAAAUAAAUUGGUAUUUCGUUGGGGUGACGAGAAGAUAAAGAAAACUCUUUUAAAUGUAAACAUUGAUUUUUGAAGUAUCUAAGAUCCAGUAGUAUUGAUUUUAAGACUAAGUUACCUUAGGGAUAACAGCGUGAUCCUUUUAGAGAGUUCUUAUCGACAAGAGGGGUUGCGACCUCGAUGUUGGAUUAAGGUUAACCUUAGGUGCAGAAGCUUAAGUGUUUAGGUCUGUUCGACCUUUAAUUCCUUACAUGAUCUGAGUUCAGACCGGCGUAAGCCAGGUCGGUUUCUAUCCUUAAAUAAAAUAGAAUAUUUUAGUACGAAAGGACCAAGUAUUUCAAUUUAUUUGUAAAAACUGAUGAAAAUUAAUUAGAAUU
rnacentral:rRNA from 1 species